rnacentral:snRNA from 1 species
GUGCUCACUUCGGCAGCACAUAUACUAAAAUUGGAAUGAUGCAGAGAAGAUUAGCAUGGCCCCUGUGCAAGGAUGACACGCAAGUUUGUGAAGUAUAAAGGUAUGCU